UUUCGUGGAGCACGUCCUGAACGUGUUCAGAGGAAGAACGCUUGCGCAUUAGAAUUUUGGCUGUUCGCGGUGUUGAAAAAUCCUCCUCUGAAUAAAAAGUUCUCUGUUCGCGGAGCGCAACAACUUGUCCUGAACGUAUUCGGAAUGCGUUCAACAAGUUCUGGGAUUAAAGAGAGGAUUUAUUGUCCGCACAUGUGCAGAAGUUGAUUUGACGAAUUUAUUUAUUUUGUUAAGAGAUUCGAGAUUGUAUUUCUAACCUAACAAGUUUAAAAUUUUGAAUUGUUGUGUUAUCAUACAAAUGUUGUAAAAGAUGAUGAACCUCAGUUCAAGUGAUGAAGAUUUGGAAGAGAUUGUAGGACUUUUAAAUGUUCCAAAAAAUGCAAAUUUUUUUGAGGAAACUGUGCAACAAUUUAAUAACCAACAAUUUAUACAGAAUUUUAGAUUAAGUAGAGACUUAGCUGUAGAUUUGGCAAAUAAGUAUGAAAGAUCUCAUUUCCACAAUAUUAUGUAAAAUUACUUUUCCUGUUUUGGAGUGUUGUUUGUCCUAGCGUAGAUAAAGAUAAAAGAAUAAGGUUAGGCAAUUGGCAUAGGCAACCCAAAAAACAUCCGGAAAUUGUUCGUGCAGAAACAAAUUCAGAAUAUAUUCGGAGACACGCUUGCGCAUAUAUUUGUAUCCGGGUUAAGUUCAGAAUACAUUCAGGAUGUGCUCCACGAAAACACCUAUUG
rnacentral:lncRNA from 1 species